AAUUCCGGCCGACGUGCUCGCAGGCCACGCGACCACGUCGCUCGCCCCCUCUCAGCACUCCCCGCUCGGCCUCCACCUCCUCCUUCCCCCUCGCUCUUCCUAUCCUGCUGGUCCUCCUCUUUGCCGCCCAGCCCCGCGUCCCUAGAGAUGCUCCUCCGUGCCCUGAUCUUCCCGGACGACCUCCUCCCGCUCCUGCCCUGGUCCGUGGCGCAGUCGCUGCUCUGCCGCCUCGCGCUGCGGAGCCCCGCCGACCUGCUCCCGGCCUUUGUCGGGGCUGCGCACGCACCGAGGUCUGACGACGCCCACCCUGUCACUAAGUGGAAGGGCGCCUGCUUCUUCGAGAACAGGGCAUGGCUGGAGUUCCGCAACGGGACCGGCAGGGGGCUCGGAGGCGGCGUAGUCCAUGUAGAGGUAAGAGGGUGAUGGAGCUAUUGUGGGGCCACGCGAGGUGACCAGUUGAAA